CCUACGGGAGGCAGUAGUGAGGAAUAUUGGUCAAUGGGCGAGAGCCUGAACCAGCCAAGUCGCGUGAAGGAUGAAGGAUCUCUGGUUUGUAAACAUCUUUUAUAUGGGAGUAGAGUGAGGAACGUGUUCCUUUUUGUAUGUACCAUAUGAAUAAGCAUCGGCUAACUCCGUGCCAGCAGCCGCGGUACUACGGAGGAUGCGAGCGUUAUCCGGAUUUAUUGGGUUUAAAGGGUGCGUAGGUGGUUAGUUAAGUCAGCUGUGAAAGUUUGUGGCUCAACCAUAAAACUGCCGUUGAUACUGGUUGACUUGAGUAUAUUAGAGGGAGGCAGAAUGCGUGGUGUAGCGGUGAAAUGCAUAGAGAUCAGGCAGAAUUCCGAUGGCGAAGGCAGCCUACUAAACGAUAACUGACACUGAAGUGCGAAAGCGUGGGGAUCAAACAGGAUUAGAUACCCUGGUAGUC
rnacentral:rRNA from 1 species